rnacentral:rRNA from 1 species
AUUGAACGCUGGCGGCAGGCCUAACACAUGCAAGUCGAGCGGAUGAGGGAAGCUUGCUUCCCGAUUUAGCGGCGGACGGGUGAGUAAUGCCUAGGAAUCUGCCUAUUAGUGGGGGAUAACGUUCCGAAAGGAACGCUAAUACCGCAUACGUCCUACGGGAGAAAGUGGGGGAUCUUCGGACCUCACGCUAAUAGAUGAGCCUAGGUCGGAUUAGCUAGUUGGUGAGGUAACGGCUCACCAAGGCGACGAUCCGUAGCUGGUCUGAGAGGAUGAUCAGCCACACUUGAACGGAGACACGGUCCAGACUCCUACGGGAGGCAGCAGUGGGGAAUAUUGGACAAUGGGCGAAAGCCUGAUCCAGCCAUGCCGCGUGUGUGAAGAAGGUCUUCGGAUUGUAAAGCACUUUAAGUUGGGAGGAAGAGUUGUAAGCUAAUAUCUUGCAGCUUUGACGUUACCAACAGAAUAAGCACCGGCUAACUCUGUGCCAGCAGCCGCAGUAAGAC